UGGGGAAUAUUGGACAAUGGGCGAAAGCCUGAUCCAGCCAUGCCGCGUGUGUGAAGAAGGUCUUCGGAUUGUAAAGCACUUUAAGUUGGGAGGAAGGGCAUUAACCUAAUACGUUAGUGUUUUGACGUUACCGACAGAAUAAGCACCGGCUAACUCUGUGCCAGCAGCCGCGGUAAUACAGAGGGUGCAAGCGUUAAUCGGAAUUACCGGGCGUAAAGCGCGCGUAGGUGGUUUGUUAAGUUGGAUGUGAAAUCCCCGGGCUCAACCUGGGAACUGCAUUCAAAACUGACUGACUAGAGUAUGGUAGAGGGUGGUGGAAUUUCCUGUGUAGCGGUGAAAUGCGUAGAUAUAGGAAGGAACACCAGUGGCGAAGGCGACCACCUGGACUAAUACUGACACUGAGGUGCGGAAGCGUGGGGAGCAAACA
rnacentral:rRNA from 1 species